GGGAAUGUAGUUCAGUGGUAGGGUGCUUGCUUAGCAUGCAAGAGUCCCUGGAUUCAAUCCCCAGAAACACUCUCC
rnacentral:tRNA from 1 species